rnacentral:rRNA from 1 species
GUAGGUGGGCAAGCGUUGUCCGGAAUUAUUGGGCGUAAAGCGCGCGCAGGGUGGUUCUUUAAGUCUGAUGUGAAAGCCCCCGGGCUCAACCGGGGAGGGUCAUUGGAAACUGGGGAACUUGAGUGCAGGAGAGGAAAGUGGAAUUCCACGUGUAGCGGUGAAAUGCGUAGAUGUGUGGAGGAACACCAGUGGCGAAGGCGACUUUCUGGCCUGUAACUGACACUGAGGCGCGAAAGCGUGGGGAGCAAACAGGAUUAGAUACCCUGGUAGUCCACGCCGUAAACGGUGAGUGCUAAGUGUUGGGGGGUUUCCGCCCCUCAGUGCUGCAGCUAACGCAUUAAGCACUCCGCCCGGGGAGUACGGUCGCAAAGACUG